CAUGUCUUUUAGUAUUAAAUUUAAAGUCUAGUCUGCCCAAUGAUUUAUUGAAUGGCCGCAGUAUUUUGACUGUGCAAAGGUAGCAUAAUCAUUAGUUUCUUAAUUAGGAACUGGUAUGAAUGGCUGGAUGAAAAAAUGACUUUUUUAAUUAAAAUAAUUGAAUUUUACUUUUAAGUAAAAAGGCUUAAAUUAUUUAAAAAGACGAGAAGACCCUAUAGAGUUUAAUAUUAAUAUUUAGUUAUAAAUUUUAGUAUUUUAAAUUUUAAUUGAAUUUUAUAUUUUAUUGGGGUGAUAUAAAAAUUAAAUAAACUUUUUAUUUAUUUUUACAUUUUUAAAUGAAUAAUAGAUCCUAAAUUUUUGGAUUAUAAGAUUAAAUUACCUUAGGGAUAACAGCGUAAUAUUUUUUGAGAGUUCUAAUCGAGAAAAAGGAUUGCGACCUCGAUGUUGGAUUAAAGUUAUAUUUGGUGCAGUAGCUAAAUUUAUUAGGUCUGUUCGACCUUUAAUACUUUACAUGAUCUGAGU
rnacentral:rRNA from 1 species